UCAAGAACUUGCCUUGCACGAAGACG
rnacentral:piRNA from 1 species